AAGGAAAGCAAUCUGCCCUACGGCACCCGAUCUCGUCUGAUCUUGGAAGCUAAAGCAGGGUUGGGCCUGGUUAGUACUUGGAUGGGAGAAAAGUAAUCUGAGAGAGUAACAAGGAGAUAUUCAGCUUACUUUCCAUU
rnacentral:rRNA from 1 species